ACAGUACUUCCUCUGUUCCAAAUUACUUGUCUCGGAUAUGGAUGUAUCUAGAACUAAAAUAUAUCUAGAUACAUUCAUUUCUACGACAAGUAAUUUCGAACGGAGGGAGUACUUG
rnacentral:pre_miRNA from 1 species